UGGAAAACCAGACGAACAAGUAGUUAGGGAAAAGGAGAGAGCAAGAGAGAGAGCUUUACAUGGACAGGGAGGCAAACAAUCCUCUGCUGAAGGGCUCCCUCACAAUUGCCCAGUUUCUUUAUCGCCCUGGAGCUUGUUUAUCUCGCCCAGGCAAAACAGACACGUUGCUUUAUCUUCAGGCCAAGGUUAAAGGGGUUGAAGCUGAGCUCUCUCUCUGGCCAGGAAUCCCAGAGCCCUGUAAAGGUCAUUUAGUCCCUCCUCACCACAGCACCCAAAUCAGCUUGCCUGUUGGUAUCUGUGUGAAAAAUUAAACGUGCUCUACGUCUCCCACGUGGGCGAGAACCCCCGGAGACAGGCUGCUAUCCAGGGGCCUUGGCUGCUAACAGAUUCCUUUUUUUUAAAAGCCCCCCAGAAGUUGUCAUCCCUACACUGCCUGCGUGUCUCAGGGAGACGGAUAAAUGCCAGGGGCACUGCGGAGUUGCUCUGAUUCUGAUGGGAUGUUAUAGCUCCGGCUCAAAGGGCCCCUCGGCAUUUUGGGUCAGAGCUUUCAGGCGCUGGGGGCUUUGCAGUGACGUCAUCGCCAGGAACACAAACAUUCUCUGUUGAAAAUGCUGAAGACCAAAAGCCUAGAUUAGACAAGUAUUCGAUUUCGCUGUCUCUCAGCAUGGUACCAUGUGAUAGCCACAAGGAAUGCUGUAGAUGAAGACUUCAAAGAAAUAUGGGAUACCUGUGUGAAGUGAUGCUGAGGGAACAAAGAAGGAUCAAAAGAAGCCUAGAAGAAGGGAAGAACACGACAACACUCACUAUGAUAAGCACUGACAUCAGUGUAAAAGCCAAGGGGUUAUGAAGACCAGAGAUGGGGAGAGGAGGCAAAGGGGGCCAGUUUGGCUUCCUGCUGCUGCCAGUGCCCCAAAUACGCCCCCCUGCCUGGGACACUGCUGCCACAAGCAACACCCCAGGCUGCUACCAUGGAAACAAAGGAAGAAACACAAAGAAGGCUGGAAGCAGGCAACAGUGUCUGAAGAUGCUUAGUAGAGCAGAAGCUGAAUGCCAACUUUGAAACCUGGAAAGACUUAUAUGAACGGAUGCAAAGGGAAGUCAGCAGAACCAGGAGAACAUUGCACAUGGUAAUAGCAAUAUUUGUAUGAUGGUCAACUGUGAAUGACUUAACUCAUUCAAGGAGCCAGGACAACUCCAAGGGAAUCAAUCAUGAUGAAAAAGGCUAUCCACCACCAUAGAAGGAACUGACAGAGUCUGAAUGCACAUUAAAACAUACCAUUUUUCCUUCAUGAA